GACGAACGCUGGCGGCGUGCUUAACACAUGCAAGUCGAACGGAAAGGCCCUGCUUUUGUGGGGUGCUCGAGUGGCGAACGGGUGAGUAACACGUGAGUAACCUGCCCUUGACUUUGGGAUAACUUCAGGAAACUAGGGCUAAUACCGGAUAGGAGCUCCUGCUGCAUGGUGGGGGUUGGAAAGUUUCGGCGGUUGGGGAUGGACUCGCGGCUUAUCAGCUUGUUGGUGGGGUAGUGGCUUACCAAGGCUUUGACGGGUAGCCGGCCUGAGAGGGUGACCGGCCACAGUGGGACUGAGAUACGGCCCAGACUACUACGGGAGGCAGCAGUGGGGAAUAUUGCACAAUGGGCGGAAGCCUGAUGCAGCAACGCCGCGUGCGGGAUGACGGCCUUCGGGUUGUAAACCGCUUUCGCCUGUGACGAAGCGUGAGUGACGGUAAUGGGUAAAGAAGCACCGGCUAACUACGUG
rnacentral:rRNA from 1 species